UACAUUUGAGAAAAAUUUGGUGCGAAUAGAAAUAUUCGGUAACAGGGAAUCAGGUGUAAAUCCUGAACAGACCCGCUGCUGUAAGCUCCACAAAAACUUUUCUUAGAGCCAAUAUUCACUGUAGUAUACUAUGGGAAGAAUUACUAAGAAAUGGAGUAAGUCAGAAGACCUACCAAAUACAAUAGUACAAU
rnacentral:ncRNA from 2 species